rnacentral:lncRNA from 1 species
UUUUUGCACUCCCCUAGCAACUGAGAAAUCAGGACAUCUUUCUCUACAGGCAAGAAGAGGAAAAUAAUACAUGAGUGACAGAAGAUUAAGUACAGUACUGAGCUUUGCCAAGUAGACCAUUUUCUUCUCUGCAAAGUUGAGAUGCCUAGGAGACUGUUACAUGGAGAUGUCAGUAUUCAGUGGGAUCGUAUUGAAGAUAUGGCUCAAGUUCAAAACUGAGAAGCAUUCUCCUUUCAGAAAGAGCAAGCUACUGGAAAAAAGCAACAACCAGACAAUUUGGAGUAAAGGAAAUGGAAGAAAAGGAAAGUUGACCACAGGGUUCAAGUGGGCUGGACAAUGGGGCCUCCAGCUGUGGUAAACUACAAAACCAGCAUCUCCCACUGAUCCAGGCACAUGUUGUGUUCCAGGAGCAGCAUCUCCAAGCAUCUAAAUCUCUUGGACACUUUUUAUCAGGAGGAAAUCUAAACGUUUACAGUGCCAAAACCAAGAUACAUUGUUUGGCCGGAAUACUGAGCAUACAGAUGGAUGCAAACCAAAAACUCUGCCUACCAGAUGACCCCCUCUGGGAGUCAAGAGUCUGUUUUGGAGUGGUCUUAUGCUGAGAUUUAGCCUGUUCAAAAUAAAAUGAGAUACAGCAGCCAUACAGGGCCAUUGCCAUGCACUAUGGGUGAUGGCU